rnacentral:lncRNA from 1 species
UGAAGGCAUGUUCUCCUUUUCUUGCAGGUGAACAACUCAGGGAGGUUAAGUGGCUUGUCUAAUGUCACACUGCUGUUAAAUAGAGGAGAGGGAAUCAAACUCAGAUCCUUGGGCUCUGAGAUCUCAGCGAGUGUGGGCUACGUAGCAAGUUCCAUGCUAGCCAGGGCUAUGUGGUGAGACUAGGAGAAGGAAGCUGGCAUUAACGUCUCAAAGAUCAAGGAGAGGUAGGGGUUGGAAGAGUGGCCUUUGAAGUCAGGAAGAGGACCAGCCUGGCACUCUGUUAAACUCAUCACCUCUUACCUCACAUCAAGCUUAUUAUGGGGUAUCAGCACCUCCACUUUAGUGUUGAAGAGGCUAAGAGAUCAUCAGCUUGGUAAGGAACAGGCUUGGGACUGGGAUGUGUCAGAGUUGAGAACCUCAGGAGGUCUCCAUUCCCACCUCGGUUUCAAUGGAAAACUGGCCCUAGGCUUUUAGCCAGGGCUGGGGGUGUGGCUCGGCUGGUAGAGCGCUUGUCUAGCGGGGAGCCUCCCACUUGAACACUGCAUAAACCAGGUGGGAUGAUGGAGGACUGACUGUAACUGCAGAACUCAGGAAGAGGAGGCAGGAAGAUCAGAAGGUCAAAGUUCAUCCUUAACUAUGGAGCAAGGUCCAGGCCCGACUGGGCUGGCUAUACAUCCUUUGUAGCUAAUGGAUCUCUCCGGGCUCGGAGUCUGGGACAUUCCUCAGAAGCCUCCCCAUUAGGGGACUCAUUGGAUGACCCUCUUGUCCUUCGUGGGAAUGCUGAGAGUCAACCAAUCUCCUGCCAUAGCUCGGGGUUCCCACGUGGUGAUGGAGCAGGCUGCCCAACUGCCAGCCAUGGUAUAACCCCUCCUAGCUCUUGUCAAAGGUCUAUGAUCACUGGAAAACAAGAGGAAAUAGACUGUCCAGGAGAAUUGCUGCGUUUCACAAGUCACACAAGUCACACCAAUGGCAUGGGAAGAUGUCACAGUGGGUUAAGCUGCUUGUUCACAAGACCAAUGACCUCAGCUCCAUCCUUGGGACCCACAUAGCAGGAGAGGACUGACUCAGAAAAUCGUCUUCCGACCUUCACAUACACACCACGGCACACGCCUCACCCGAUAGAAAAACGUAACGUAAAAACCUUUUAAUUGAAAGAAUGCAUUGAACAUGUAUUGCUUAUGUCUUCAAAUGGAUAAUCAGACAAAAUAUGCUGG